CGAACCGGGUCAGAACUAGAUCCGUAACCUUCAUAACAUCACAAAAUUGAAUUCGUAAAAGGAGCCCUAGAUUCAAGUUCUGCAGAUGUUACGAACUCACCAUCUCCCUCGCGAUAUCUCUGCUUCCCUACUCAUCUCUCACGAUUUCUCACAAUCGCUCUCUUCUCACGAUUUGUGAACAACAAGAUUAAUACGAAAGAAAAGCUCUCGAUUUCAUCUCUCUCUCGGUUAGUUUUCUCGAUCUCGUCUCUCACUCUAUUAGCGCAAACAACAGCAACAACGAAAUAGCAAAGCAACAAUCAAAGCAAUAAAACCCUUAUCCCAGAGUUAAACCCCAAUUUCCCAUGAUUCCAUUAUUUCAGUAUGGUUACAAAUGGAAAGGGUGAUGAAAUCGAAUAAGAAAUUAACCUGAAGCAAUCAAAAGAGCAGCGUGGCAAGGACAUAACAACAGACUUGUUUUUGUUGUUUUUUUUUUAUGGGCAGCAAAGUCUUGGGUAGGUCAUGAACCUUGGGCCUUGCAAAUUUGUUUGAGACUAUUUGUUGCUGUUUAUUUGGAAUCUCUUCUUCGCUAAUUCCCUUUGUGAAUCAAAACAAGUUUUGUGAUUUGCAAUAGGAAUCUUUUAGGCCCAUGAUUAAUUAUAAAAUUGUAUGAGGCCUUUUGUUGAUUGAAAACAAAUCCCUUGACAAAAUUCUGAUUCCUUCAUCAAACCCUAAUGAUGAACUUGUGCAUCCUCUUGGAAAUUCUUAUUCAUGUUCAUAUUUUUGUGGAUUCUAACCAUUUCUUUCUCUUGUUUCAUGUGCAAUGGCAUUGGUGGUAAAGCAAUAAGAAGUUUGAAUGAAGAUUGAAAAUUGGGAACUUCAAAAGAAGAAGAUUGGAGACAAAAAUAGAAUUUAGCUUUGUGUAACUUUCAUGUUUGUAAUAAUUUGUUUUUGUAAUGAAAUUUGAACCAUAAAUGUAGUGAACUUUUGAAUGAAUGAAGAAUGUUGAAUGAUCUUUGUACUUGAA